UUAAUCAAAAAUUAUUAUUUAUUAAUUCCAAAAAUUGGAUAUUGUUUCUGAUUGUCAGAUUAAUAAGGAAAUAAUAUCAAGAAAUAUGAUGGUUUCAAUAACAAAGGAAAUAUAUCAAGCAUACACGAGGUAAACUUCUCUAAAUCAAAUUUUAUGCAAAUAGAUUGCUUAAAAGAUUUACAUGUGACUGUCACUAACAAGCGGCUUUUAGUUAAAUACCUUUUCUCUGUACAGACUACAAAACAAAAUCGUAGUAUACUUUUUUUAGAUAACAAUUCCAACAUGACAAAAUUAAAAAUUACACUUGUGCUGCGGAUAUACAAAUAUAGAGAAGCCUGCGGUGAAAAAAAUGUUUUCAUAUUGUACCAAAAACAAAAAGUGUAAGUUUAUGUAUAUUGAACUAAAUACAAAUUGUGUAACUUUAUACA